rnacentral:rRNA from 1 species
ACGCUCGACACCUACGGGAGGCUGCAGUCGGGAAUAUUGCGCAAUGGAGGAAACUCUGACGCAGUGACGCCGCGUAUAGGAAGAAGGUUUUCGGAUUGUAAACUAUUGUCGUUAGGGAAGAGAAAGGACAGUACCUAAGGAGGAAGCUCCGGCUAACUACGUGCCAGCAGCCGCGGUAAUCUGAGCGGGCUGGCAAGGC